AAAGAUUAAGCCAUGCAUGUCUAAGUAUAAGCAACUAUACGGUGAAACUGCGAAUGGCUCAUUAAAUCAGUUAUCGUUUAUUUGAUGGUACCUUACUACAUGGAUAACCGUGGUAAUUCUAGAGCUAAUACAUGCUAAAAACCUCGACUUCGGAAGGGGUGUAUUUAUUAGAUAAAAAACCAAUGCCCUUCGGGGCUCCUUGGUGAAUCAUAAUAACUUAACGAAUCGCAUGGCCUUGCGCCGGCGAUGGUUCAUUCAAAUUUCUGCCCUAUCAACUUUCGAUGGUAGGAUAGUGGCCUACCAUGGUAUCAACGGGUAACGGGGAAU
rnacentral:rRNA from 1 species